rnacentral:misc_RNA from 1 species
GUGAAUCAUCGAAUCUUUGAACGCACAUUGCGCCCAAGACCUCGGUCGAGGGCAUGUCUGCCUCAGCGUCGGUUUAACCCCCUCACCCCCCUCACUCGUGUGAGUCGGCCCGGCUGCUUGCCGGGCUUGGGAGUGGAGCUGGCUCUCCCACCGCUUCCUGAAGCUGUGGGUUGGCUGAAAAGCAGAGGCUAGAGCAGAGACCCGACAAGGGCUCAACUGGAUAGGUAGCACGAGGUCCCUUCGGAGCCUCACUACACGAAGUUGAUGCCUGUGGACUCUGCUGGCAGCCGACUUUGGCGC